UGUGUGGGGAGAGGUGGCGAGGCUGGACUCGGGGGGGUGGCUGUGGGGAGGGAGAGGGGUAGACUUGCUUAGGAUUGGGUGCGGGCAUGGGGGCGGGGAGGUCAAAGAGGAACCUGAGUUUGGGGACCUUUACUUUCCAGCGCGGGGAGCCCCGGGACAGAGGGACGGCCUGAGGUUGGGGUGAGUGGCACAACCCCGGGGCACCGCCCUACUCAGAACCCCCCCUCCGCCCCCCGCCGCUGCCCAGCGACCCGCAGUCUCUCACUGCUGCCUGCACCCCCCCCCCCCGCAACCUCAUUGUCUUGUGAUUGAUGAAGACCCCCCGUGCGGUGUUUGUUCAGCUGUCCAGACCCCCCCGGGGCUGGCUGCACGUCUGUCCCUGUGCAUCUGUCCAUCUCAGAGAGGACGAAACCUAAGGAGCAAGAGUGGGGGCCCCGAGGCAGAGUGGAAACCCACCGGGGUUUGGAGCCGCGCCCCCCUCGCUCUGCUUUGCCGGGGAUGACUCAUCCCGGGAAGCGGACAGUCCAGACCAAGGCUUUGAUCCUCUGCUGGCUACAGGCGGCGUAGCCCCCAGACCGUGGUGUUCAUCCAGGACAGCUCCCCUUGGGGCCCAAGGAGGGCAGUUUUGGGGGUCAGGGCUGACCGUGAGCCACCGGCUGAGCUGUGGGGACCCAGGACUGGGAAGACAGCACCCUGCCCCCUUCUCCUCCAUGGCCUGACUCAGAGAUGGCCCCACCACCCACCCACCGCCCCUACUUUGCUCUCCUCCCUCACCCCUUUUUGUCCCACAAGCCCUCCCUUUAAGUCUUUUCCGUCAGUCCACUCAGCCCUUCUGUCUGCCUCCCCAGACCAGCCCCCCCAUCAUCUCUUGCCUGCACGUCCAACCUGCCUCCCUGCUCUUACCCUUGCCCCUGUGGUCCCUUCUGCUCAGGGCAGCCAGAAUGAUCUUUCUGGAAGUGCUUCUGAAUGUGUCCCCCCUCGGCCUAAAACCGGCUGUGGCUUCCCAUUACCCUCAGUACGACCUUGCAACUAACACAAACCCAGGAUGGCGCGACCCGCGGCGACCUCUGUCCCUCCCUCCCUCCGUGCUACUUCCUGUAGAUCUCUGCUUGUGAAACUGAGGAUUUUUCAGUUGUUCUAAUCAGUCCUGUUUUACUCUCACCCCCUGGACCUUUGCACCUGCCACCGUGCCCUUCGCCGGGAGCAACGCCACAGCCUCUGCCUGGCUGACUCUGAUUCAAGCGUUGGGUCUCAGGUGAGACCUCUUUUCCUUUUCUGCCCUCUCCCCCUAACAGCAGACUGGGUCAGGGGCCUCCUCCAGGCUCCCACGGACCUCGGACUUCCCCGAUCGCAGCCCUGACCACCCUGGACAGGGCCUCUCCUUCAGUGCCUGUCCAUGCCCAGCAUACAGUAGGUGUCCGGGAGAAGGUUCAAGGUCGGGGAGGAGGACUACUGGGUUGCAGGGCUGAAACGGGCCCUGCUCAGGCCUCCUGGCUAUGUAUGGCAGGGUGUGGGGGGGGGGGCAAUUAUCACAGCAAAUGUAAUCUGCUGGUUGCUGGGCUCCAGCAUAGUCCCAUGGAAGAUUCUGCCCCACUGCCGCAGAAGAGGCAGCUGGAGGUCACCGAGAGGGCUCUGCCCACAGAAUAAGAACACUGGUGAUGAUCCGUGCCCUGGCUCAGGGCCACACCUGCUUGACCUCCUGUACCUUUAUCGUCCCCAGUUGACAGAUGAGGAAACUGAGACUCUGCAGGGCACAGUGACUUGCCCAAGGUCCUUCAGCCAUGCCAGAGCUGGGACGGGAACUUGGGAUUGCGGCUGCACAUGUCACCGACUACCACUGGGCCAGUGACGGGCGCUUCUCCCGGACUCAGCAGGCCUGGGUUCUUCGUCCGCGCAAUGGACCUCCCGAGAGCCCGGACUCCUUCUCAGGGGGGUUGUGAAACCAGCAUGCUGCAGGUUAAGGCAGGGACAGGUGCGGGUUCCAGAAGAGGAGGGUCAAAGAGGGGCAGUGAUGUGGCCGUGGUCACCGAGCAUGGCGAGGGGGUGGGGGUGGGGGGAUUCGUAUCAGCCUCUGAACCCAAGGCAAGUGGCAUCCGGUGAGAUUUUCUCCAUUAAGCUCCGCUGUGAGCCUUGGUGGCAGCAAGGGCACCGGGCACUGGUCUGCAGCCUGGCCUGGCCCCGUGGGAAGAGCCCUGGGCAGGGAGUCCAAGUCAGGCUCUGGCAUGGCCUCUCUGUGCCCCUGGCCCAUCGUGCCCCUCUCUGCCCUGGGUGGGCCACCCAUGGUUUGCUUGGGAUGGAGGCAAUCGACGUGACAUUACUGAAUCCCCAUAACCAUCCCGCGAGGCUGCCUGUCUUAUUAUUUCACUGUUCUCCACGAGGCCGGGAGACGUGAGGUGACCCACCCAAGGUCACUCAGCCGGGGGAGUGGCAGGGCAGGAACCUGGUUUUUCAGUUUACGGCCAUACAGUCGGUGCACGCAUUUGCAUCGCAGAAUGUGACGGGUGUUGGCAUCUAUACGCACCCACAAGACGGUGAGCAUAGCCGCCAUCCUCCAAAAGUUUUCUUGCGUCCCUUCGUGGGACCUUCUGGCCCCCGAUGUCCCAAGGCCACCACCGAGCUGCUUUCCGUCGACAGGUUAGUUUGCGUUUUCUAGAAUGUUCUAUAAAUGGAACCAUCCAGUAUGCAUUCUUUGUUGCCUGGCUGCUCUCCCCCGGCGUCGUGACCUUGAGAUUCCUCCACGUUGUUGAGUGUAUCGAGCGUUCAUUUCUUCUUACUGCUCAGAGGCGUUCUAUGUGUGGAUGUACCACAAACUUUCGAGCCGGGUGCCUGUUGAUGGGUUGUUUCCAAUUUUGCCCGUCACAAAUAAAGCUCCUCUGAAGACUCAUGCAUAAAUCUUUGCAUGAACCCAAGUUUCCACUGCGCUGGGAUAAAUGCCUAGAGGGAGCGGCCAGGUCCCAAGGCAGGGGCCCCGAGGGGGUUGGUGCUUACUGCCCGGGGAGACCGCACUUCCUGAGGAGGGUCUAUGGAGCCUCUACACCCAGGUAUUGAUUUGAAAUUCUCUCAACCCAGCAGAAGCAAGGCGGGGAAGAUGUGAGAUCCAGGGAGGGUGUGAGCGGAAGGAGCCAGGGAAGGAGUGGGUGCAGGCGGGAGCCCCCGGGGGUCGGGACGCCACCGUGGGAGGGCGUGGAACCCUCCUGGUACCUGCUCUCCUGCCCGCCUCGCGGGAUCCUCCCCAGAUCGGCAGCCCUGGGCCAGCACCGGGCCCAUCACCCGCCUGGCCCUGGGGACCCGCCAGCCGCCUGUUUAUGAAGCAAGCCAGUCCUGGAGUCACAGCCGCGCCCACGGAAUGGGGGAGGGGUGACAGAUGGCGGAGGUGCCAUUUUAACCAGAGUCUGCAGCAGUUGGGGAAGGGGAGGGGGGAACCCGGGGUUGGGGGAGGCUGGGACCCUGCAUCGUUGCUCCCUCAGGGCCCCUCUGCAUCUCCUCUCCACCUGGGCACCUCCCCCAAGCUCAGGUCUGAGAGGCCACCUGACCCAACAGCCCGGUCACGUGGGCCGCCCAAACUCCCAUGGACUCUAUGGGUGCCCCUUGGGGCUGCGAGGUGUUGGGGGGGUCCUCUGGGAGGCCGGGGCGACAGUGAUAAUCUCUUAAGGCUCGGCCGCCCACGAGGAGAGCCCUGUGACCUCCCAGCACGUAACAAGGACAGGACCGCGGACCAGGAAACACCAGGGGCUGGCAAGGGGUAGUGGGCAGGAGGGAUCUGGGGCCGACUGAAGGCCCCAGAGGCCAACCUUUAGCUCCAGGCUUCGGCUGGAGCACUCAGGGCGGAUGGGGAGCGAAGCGUGGGAGGGGUCUGUGUUCUUAUCCCAGCCCAGCACUCAGACCCUCUCUGGACCUCAGCAUUUGCAUCUCCAGCAGUGAAGGGUGCUGGCCUCACCCACCUGGCUAGGAGGCAAAGCGCUGGUGACAGGGAAGCAAUGGAACGCCUACAGGUAACCGGGAAGCCUGUCUUCUACAGGUGAGGACAGCAAGGCCCAGAGAGGCCAGGGUGCUUGCCCGGGGUCACCGAGCUGCUGAUGGGAAGCCCUGUGCCCUGGGUUGUCCAGGACGAGGUGCAUGUGAAACAGAGGUGGGUCACAGCCUGCUGCUCUGGCUGGGGGCCUGCCGCUCCCCUGGGACUCUUGGGUCCCUCGAACGUCCCUGUUCCAGAAACCUCCACGCACCCAGACCUUUGUUGAAUAAAGGACACUCAUUCUACGA